rnacentral:rRNA from 1 species
UGACGGUACCUGACUAAGAAGCCCCGGCUAACUACGUGCCAGCAGCCGCGGUAAUACGUAGGGGGCAAGCGUUAUCCGGAUUUACUGGGUGUAAAGGGAGCGUAGACGGAGAAGCAGGUCUGAUGUGAAAGGCAUGGGCUCAACCUGUGGACUGCAUUGGAAACUGUUUUUCUUGAGUGCCGGAGGGGUAAGCGGAAUUCCUAGUGUAGCGGUGAAAUGCGUAGAUAUUAGGAGGAACACCAGUGGCGAAGGCGGCUUACUGGACGGUAACUGACGUUGAGGCUCGAAAGCGUGGGGAGCAAACAGGAUUAGAUACCCUG